UACAGAGGUCUCAAGCGUUGUUCGGAUUCAUUGGGCGUAAAGGGUGCGUAGGUGGCGCGGUAAGUCGGGUGUGAAAUCUCGGGGCUUAACUCCGAAACUGCAUUCGAUACUGCCGUGCUUGAGGACUGGAGAGGAGACUGGAAUUUACGGUGUAGCAGUGAAAUGCGUAGAUAUCGUAAGGAAGACCAGUGGCGAAGGCGGGUCUCUGGACAGUUCCUGACACUGAGGCACGAAGGCCAGGGGAGCAAACGGGAUUAGAACCGUA
rnacentral:rRNA from 1 species